rnacentral:lncRNA from 1 species
UUGAAGACAGAAUGGGAAACAGUAGGUUCCCUGGAGCCUUGCCUUCAUUUCUUUUGUAUGCCUGGUCAACCAGAAUAUCGAAAAUGGGCUAUUUGUACAUUGAGCCAAAGGACCCCUCCACAUGAGAUAGGGUUGGAUCGCCAAGGUUGUAAGACCUCUUGUUUUCAAACAGUACUAAUGUUUUAUUAAUCAGUUCUAUAUCGGCUGAUAUAGAUUCAAUCAUGUGACUUAAUGCUUGAUCCUGAUUGGAUUAAUAGCUCAUGAAUUAUUAAUGAGUUUGAUAAAUGAACUUGUUCAAUAAUCUUAUCACCAAGAGUGUAUACCAUUAUUCAGAUUACCACAGGAAGCCCACGCAUGCGAUCUGAGAUCGUCUAGUGUUCUUUACAAAAAACAAGCAAAUAAUAAUUUUCAUUGCGUGAAUAAAAACACGCAAAUCUUUGCUUAUGUAAAUUUUACCUCAUUAGCAUAUGAAUUUCUCUUUUUUAAACACAAAAUCAUCCAAUUAUAUGGCAAAUCUAAACGUAUUAGGAGUAACCACAUGCGCUCCUUGAGCGACUUUAAUUGCUGUUUGGAGUGCGCCGGAGACGUUGUCCAAGAAUCCCUUGGAUUUAGUCCGUUUGAAUAAAGACAGUUUGCUUAACCUCAGCGCAGAUAUGAAUCUAUACUCAACUUUGUUUCUACUUACAAAGACCGCCUACGUAAAGCCUGUAAUUACGCCAAAAAGAACCUUGAAUCGUCACAAAUCAGCAUGAAAACGUGGUAUGACCGCAAAUCCAGACAACGCGUCUUUAAACCUGGUGACUGACAAACUUCUUAAAUGUUGCUAUCCGUUACAAAUCAUUCACUAAAUUCGAACUAAAUACAAGUUACUCAUCUUCCCUACACUACAAUAUUGUCAAGAAGGUUAGUGACACUGAUUAUAUAAUUAGCACUCCUGAUCGAUGUAAUAUCACUAGACUUUGCCAUGUUAAUAUGUUAAAACGUUUCUUUGAAAAUGAAAGAGAGGAAACAGUUUUAUCUAGUUAUUUGCAGGGAGAAGGCGUACAAGAAGAAAGAUUGGAGUAUGAAAAUAUCGCAACAAGCCCCACGGCUGCCGAACUCGCAAAUUCUAGACAGUCUGCAAGAUAAACUUUCUCAUUUACCGGAAGAGUAUUGUGAUUUUAGGAAAGUCUAUGAAUUAACCAAAACUGAUUCGUUUCCAAUCUGCACCGACGGAGUUGUCACCUUGCACGUAGUGGUGCGGCUUGCGUGCCCCUUUGACCCCUAGAGCUAUAUCGGCUGGAGCCAUAGGUUCCUGUUGGGGUCACCCAUGCCGAACAGGUCGAAUGGUAGGUCCUGACAAAGAGUGACUCCCUGGUCCUCCAGGUUGUGGGUUUGGCGUUGGGUUAACAACUCAACCCUGUUAAAAAACUUAUGUUACGGAAACCAACGCAACUGUAGAAACUAAUGCUGAAGGCCCACCUGUUGAUGUAUGCAAACCUCCUGAAGAAUGACAACUGCUGAUGAAAGGCUACUGGAAGUCAGAAUGGGGAUGAACAACAUAGUUGGGCCUAAGAACAAAAUACGACUGGGGACAUGGAACGUUGGGACUAUGUACGCAUCCAAAACAGCUCCUCAAGGAAAUGGAGAAUUACCAACUAGACAUUCUUGGAAUCAGUAAGCGGGUGUAGAUGGACAGGCGUGGGUGAACAAGUAACAAGCAAUGGAGCAGUCAUCCUCUUCUCAGGACACCCUACCAUGCAAGCAUGAACAUGGAGUCGCAAUCAUUGUGUACAAGACGAUAUGUAUAAGACCUUGUUGGAAUGGGAGCCCAUCAGAUUGCGGCCUUAUGUUCCACAGGGGAUGAAGAGGAUUGAUUGAUUGAUUCGUUUCCAGUACCUCAUAUUGAAACCUGCAUUGAUCAAAUUGGUCAUGCUACUAAUAUUCCUAAGAUUGAUUUAUUAAAAGGUUACUGGCAGAUACCGCUGACUGAAAGAGAAAAGGAAAUCUCCGCUUUUGUUACCCCAAGACGAUUCAGAACAGAGUAAUGCCAUUUGGUCUCAAGAAUGCGCCUGCUACGUUUCAGAGAUUAAUGAAUAAUGUAAUAGUAAGUAUAUCCAACUGCGAUGUAUAUAUUGAUGAUAUAGUUCUCUAUCAUUAUAAUUGGCAGGAUCAUAUGGGCUGGAGGACGUCUUCAGAAGUUUAACAUCCGCGGCGAAGUUUGAUUUUUGAAGAGCAACUAUCACGUACUCAUAGGGCACGAAGUUAGGCAGGGUAAGGUAAGGCCAGUGCAAGCCAAAGUCGAAGCCCUAGUCCAGUUUCCAGUCCCCACGACUCUAGAACAACUCUUGCGUUUCCUUGGAAUGGCCGGAUACUACAGAAAGUUUUGCGGAAACUUUACAAAGAACGACCUUUCGAGCUGAUGGUAGACGCGAGUGAUGCCGAUUGCGGAGGAGUACUACUGCAAGACUAUGACAGUGGAAUUGACCACCCCGUCAGCUAUUUCUCCAAGAAGUUCAAGCCUGCACAGAGAAACUACUCAACAAUCGAAAAAGAAUGUUUAGCCUUGCUGAUAGCUUUGCAGUACUGUGAGAUCUACGUUGGUUGUUUUGAAGCAGAACUUUAUUGAGGUCUACACUGAUCAUAAUCCAUAAUCCAUUGACGUUUAUCAAAGAUGAGGAACAAGAAUCGGAGUUUGUUGGCAUGGUCUUUGGUACUACAAGAGUACGACCUCGUGAUAAAGCACAUGAAAGGAAAGGACAAUGCCAUAGCCGACUCGCUGUCCAGUGUAUCACUAUAAAGACCAAGAACUGAUCAGUAUAAUAUAAUUUUGAAAGUAUGAUCUAUAGUAGAGUUUAAUAAGUAAAAAUUGUGAUGUAAUAACAUUACUAAAGAAAAAGAAAAACAGUACAAAUUAUAUUAACUUGAUAUGUAGAAUGAAGAACAUUACAGUGCACUGAAACCUUA